ensembl:snRNA U6 U6 spliceosomal RNA
AUGCUCACUUCAGCACUACAUAUACUAAAAUUGUAACGAUCCAGAAAAGAUUAGCAUGGCUCCUACGCAAGGAUGGCAUGCGAAUUCAUGAAUAACCUAUACUUUAA